rnacentral:rRNA from 1 species
UACGUAGGGCGCAAGCGUUGUCCGGAAUUAUUGGGCGUAAAGAGCUCGUAGGCGGUUUGUCGCGUCUGCUGUGAAAACCUAAGGCUCAACCUUGGGCUUGCAGUGGGUACGGGCAGACUAGAGUGCGGUAGGGGUGACUGGAAUUCCUGGUGUAGCGGUGGAAUGCGCAGAUAUCAGGAGGAACACCGAUGGGGAAGGCAGGUCACUGGGCCGCAACUGACGCUGAGGAGCGAAAGCAUGGGGAGCGAACAGG